rnacentral:rRNA from 1 species
AACGAACGCUGGCGGCAUGCCUAACACAUGCAAGUCGAACGAAGGCUUCGGCCUUAGUGGCGCACGGGUGCGUAACGCGUGGGAAUCUGCCCUUUGGUUCGGAAUAACAGCUGGAAACGGCUGCUAAUACCGGAUGAUGACGAAAGUCCAAAGAUUUAUCGCCAGAGGAUGAGCCCGCGUUGGAUUAGGUAGUUGGUGGGGUAAAGGCCUACCAAGCCGACGAUCCAUAGCUGGUCUGAGAGGAUGAUCAGCCACACUGGGACUGAGACACGGCCCAGACUCCUACGGGAGGCAGCAGUGGGGAAUAUUGGACAAUGGGCGCAAGCCUGAUCCAGCAAUGCCGCGUGAGUGAUGAAGGCCCUAGGGUUGUAAAGCUCUUUUACCCGGGAAGAUAAUGACUAUACCGGGAGAAUAAGCCCCGGCUAACUCCGUG